GGAGGGCUUGGAUUUCUAAAUUUUCAGAGUUUUAAUGUGGUGUAACUAGCGAAACAACUAUCGAGAUUAAUACAGUUUCCAAACUCACUACUUCUCGAGUACUUAGAGGACGCUACUACAACCAGUCAUGCCUUUGGAAAUACUAUCGGGGAAUGCCUCAUCACAAGUGUAUGAUACGAACCUUGGAUCCCAUACACAGAGGC
rnacentral:lncRNA from 1 species